UACGUAGGGGGCAAGCGUUGUCCGGAUUUAUUGGGCGUAAAGAGCUCGUAGGUGGUUCGGUAAGUCGGAUGUGAAAUCUCCAGGCUCAACCUGGAGGGGUCAUUCGAUACUGCCGUGACUAGAGGUCGGUAGGGGAGUGUGGAAUUCCUGGUGGAGCGGUGAAAUGCGUAGAUAUCGAGAGGAACACCAGUGGCGAAGGCGAGUCCCUGGACAACACCUGACACUGAGGCACGAAAGCUAGGGGAGCAAACAGG
rnacentral:rRNA from 1 species